GACGCAGGGUGUGGCCAUUACCGUCACAGAAGGUAGAGUGGUAUUAAGUUAAAUUAAGUUAGGCAAAUAUUAUGUGUGAGAGCAGAGUGGUUGAUUGUUGUGUUAAAUCCUCCACCUGGAAGAAAAACUGUCGGAGCAGGAUACGUUCUCUUCAUUAUAAGUAAAAGCAACUAGUGUCUGAAUGUGUUCACGAGCCCUUUGGGUGUAAUACAAUCAAAUGAGGAGACUCUCCAUGGGAAAGGGAAAAGUCUGGGAUACAUAGAAGCGUGUGGUCAUAUGACGCAACUCAAGGGGAGGAAACAUCUGUAGAACUGAUCUUGGAUAGAACGCCAGAUUAAUUAUAGCACUAUAAUUAUAGUCAAUAAACUAAAUUCUAGUGCCUUUCUCCUGGCACAAGCGCUCUUGAUUGUGUCGUAGCAGGAUAGCUUAUAAAAAUUGCUCGUCGCAAACCUAAAACGAGGAAAAGUUCAUAAUUGAUAUAUGACAAUCUGGAUAUCUAACAUCUGAAUUCGAUGCCACUUUUGGACAUAAUUGUUCUUAUGAUGAGAAGGCAAUAGUCCAUAAUAAGCAAAUAUUACUUACUAAGG
rnacentral:misc_RNA from 1 species